AGGGCUUCUGACGGAUGCCUUGGCAUUGAGAGGCGAUGAAGGACGUGGCACGCUGCGAUAAGAGCCGGGGAGGCGCGAGCACCCUUUGAUCCGGCUAUUUCCGAAUGGGGAAACCCACCUUAAUGACCACUCCACUUUGCUUCCGGCUUCGGCCGGGGGCGGCAGUGGGUUGGUUGUGACAGGUAUAAUGGGCUGAAUACAUAGGCUCCAUUAAGCAAACCCGGGGAACUGAAACAUCUCAGUACCCGGAGGAAAGGACAUCAACCGAGACUCCCGUAGUAGUGGCGAGCGAACCGGGACCAGGCCAGUGCUGUCGUGACAUAAAGCUGAACGACUUGGAAAGGUCGGCCAUAGUGGGUGAUAGCCCCGUAAGCGUCAAAUAGCGACAGACUCGAGUAGGGCGGGACACGUGAAAUCCUGUCUGAACAUGGGGGGACCACCCUCCAAGCCUAAGUACUCCUCAAUGACCGAUAGCGAACAAGUACCGUGAGGGAAAGGUGAAAAGCACCCCGACAAGGGGAGUGAAACAGAUCCUGAAAUCGGAAGCCUACAAGCAGUCGGAGCCACCGAGCGUGGUGACGGCGUACCUUUUGUAUAAUGGGUCAGCGACUUCAUGUGCCGUGCAAGCUUAAGCCGUUAGGUGUAGGCGCAGCGAAAGCGAGUCUGAAUAGGGCGAAUAAGUACGUCGCAUGACGACCCGAAACCAGGUGAUCUAUCCAUGAGCAGGUUGAAGGUAAGGUAACACUUACUGGAGGACCGAACCGGUGAAUGUUGAAAAAUUCUCGGAUGACUUGUGGAUAGGGGUGAAAGGCCAAUCAAACCUGGACAUAGCUGGUUCUCCGCGAAAACUAUUUAGGUAGUGCCUCAGACGGACUCCUCGGGGGGUAGAGCACUGAAUGGAUGCGGGGGGAGCGAUCUCUACCAAUUCUAAUCAAACUCCGAAUACCCGAGAGAGAUAUCUGGGAGACACACGGCGGGUGCUAACGUCCGUCGUGAAAAGGGAAACAACCCUAACCAUCAUCUAAGGCCCCCAAGUUCUGGCUAAGUGGGAAACGAUGUGGGUUUGCUUUGACAACCAGGAUGUUGGCUUAGAAGCAGCCAUCAUUUAAAGAAAGCGUAACAGCUCACUGGUCAAGCGAACCUGCGCGGAAAAUGUAACGGGGCUCAAGCCAGACGCCGAAGGUAUGGGUUUGCACUUUGUGCAAGCGGUAGCGGAGCGUUCCGUAAGCCGGUGAAGGUGAGGCGCGAGCCUUGCUGGAGGUAUCGGAAGUGAGAAUGCUGACAUGAGUAGCGAUAAAGAGUGUGAGAGACACUCUCGCCGAAAGCCCAAGGGUUCCUGCGUAAAGCUAAUCUGCGCAGGGUUAGUCGGCCCCUAAGGCGAGGCCGAAAGGCGUAGUCGAUGGGAAUCAGGUGAAUAUUCCUGAACCAGUUGGAAGUGACGGAUCUGGUAAAUUGUCUGGGCUUAUUGGAUUGCUCCGGGCAGUGAACAGGUCCCUGGAAAUAACUCCAACGGAGACCGUACCCGAAACCGACACAGGUGGGCAGGUAGAGUAUACCAAGGCGCUUGAGAGAACCAUGCUGAAGGAACUCGGCAAAUUGCACGCGUAACUUCGGGAUAAGCGUGACUCUGCUUUGGGCAACCAGAGUAGAGUGGCACAGGCCAGGGGGUAGCGACUGUUUAUCAAAAACACAGGGCUCUGCGAAGCCGCAAGGCGACGUAUAGGGUCUGACGCCUGCCCGGUGCCGGAAGGUUAAAAGGAGUGGUGCAAGCUGCGAAUUGAAGCCCCGGUAAACGGCGGCCGUAACUAUAACGGUCCUAAGGUAGCGAAAUUCCUUGUCGGGUAAGUUCCGACCUGCACGAAUGGCGUAACGACUUCCCCACUGUCUCCAGCAUAGGCUCAGCGAAAUUGAAUUCCCCGUGAAGAUGCGGGGUUCCCGCGGUCAGACGGAAAGACCCUAUGAACCUUUACUGCAGCUUCGCCUUGGCGUUAGCAGCAACAUGUGUAGGAUAGGUGGGAGGCU
rnacentral:rRNA from 1 species